rnacentral:rRNA from 1 species
GACGAACGCUGGCGGCGUGCUUAACACAUGCAAGUCGAAUGGAAAGGCGCUGCUUUUGUGGGGUGCUCGAGUGGCGAACGGGUGUGUAACAUGUGAGUAACCUGUCCUUGACUUUGGGAUAACUUCAGGACACUUGGGCUAAUCUCGUAUAGGAGCUCUUGCUGCACGUAGGGUGUUGGAAAGUUUCGGCGGUUGGGGGUGGACUCGCGGCUCAUCAGCUUGUUGGUGGGGUAGCGGCUUACCAAGGCUUUGAUGGGUAGCCGGCCUGAGAGGGUGAACGGCCACAUAGGGGCUGGGGUACGGCCCAGACUCCUUAGGGGAGGAGGAGUGGGGGAUAUUGCACAAUGGGAGCGAGCGUGAGGCACAGACGCCGCGUGCGGAAUAAGAGCCUUCGCGGUGUGAACCGCUUUCGCAUGUGACGAGGAGCAAGUGACGGUAAUAAGUGAAGAAGCACCGGCUAACUACGUG